rnacentral:rRNA from 1 species
GACGAACCGUGCGAACGUUGUUCGGAUUCACUGGGCUUAAAGGGCGCGUAGGCGGGCCGGUAAGUCGGGGGUGAAAUCUUUCAGCUCAACUGGAAAAGAGCCUUCGAUACUGCCGGCCUCGAGGGAGGUAGGGGCGUGCGGAACUUCCGGUGGAGCGGUGAAAUGCGUAGAGAUCGGAAGGAACGCCGGUGGCGAAAGCGGCGCGCUGGACCUCUUCUGACGCUGAGGCGCGAAAGCCAGGGGAGCAAACGGGAUUAGAUACCCCGGUAGUCCUGGCCCUAAACGAUGGGUACUAGGUAGUGGUCUGAACAUGGGAUCACUGCCGAAGCAAAAGUGUUAAGUACCCCGCCUGGGGAGUAUGGUCGCAAGGCUGAA